AUGAGCCUUAAGAAAAUGGCUGUCCCCGCGCUCCUCAACUACGCCUACCUCAGCGGCCUCCUCUCCCGCUGCGGCCGCGCCGCCGACCACCGCCUGGGCGCCGCCCUCCACGCCACCGUCGUCAAGAAUCCCGCCCACUUCCUCCUAUGCCCACUGCACCCCUCCCUCCGCCACGUCCUCGUCGCCUGGAACGCGCUCGUCUCCAUGUACGCCAGGUGCGGCCGCCACGACGACGCCACCAAGGUGUUCGACGAAAUGCGCGUCCGGGACUCCGUCUCCUGGAACUCGCUCAUCGCCUCCGCCGCCGCCUCCUCCUCCGGCGCCGACGACGUGCUCGCGCAGUUCAGACGGAUGCUGCGCUCGGGCCUCUCGUGCGACCACGCCACCUUCACCACAGUCCUGUCUGUGUGCGCGCGUGCAGUGUCCCUCCCCGCGUCUGCCAUGGUGCACGGGCUGGUCGUCUCGCGUGGGUUUGAGGGCGAGGUGUCUGUCGGGAACGCACUGGUGACCGCCUACUUCGAGUGCGGGUCUCCGGGCUCGGCCAAGAGGGCGUUCCAGGGAAUGGCAGAGAGGAACGUCAUUACAUGGACGGCGAUGAUCUCCGGGAUGGCUCGAGCAGAGCUCUACGAGGACAGCAUCGUGUUGUUUCGACAGAUGAGGCGCACGGUGGACGCCAACAAUGCGACAUACUCGAGCUCCCUGUUAGCCUGCGCUGGAUCUCUGGCAGCCAAGGAAGGCAAGCAGAUUCAUGGCCUUAUUGUGAAGGCUGGACUCGCGACCGACCUCCAUGUAGAGAGUGGGCUCAUGGAUGUUUACUCUAAAUGCGGAUUAAUGGAGGAUGCUCUGAGUGUGUUCCGCGCAUGUCGGCAGCCUGACGAAGUUUUCUUGACAGUCAUUCUGGUCGGAUUUGCUCAAAAUGGGCUGGAAGAGAAGGCGUUCGAAUUGUUCACUGAGAUGGCGGGUGAAGGAAUUUGCAUUGAUACAAACAUGGUUUCUGCAGUUCUGGGGGCAUUUGGUGCCUCCGCGCCAAUUGCUCUUGGGAAGCAAAUCCAUGCACUGGUCAUCAAGAAGUGCUUCGGAAGGAACAUAUAUGUCUGCAAUGGUCUGAUCAAUAUGUAUUCAAAGUGCGGUGAGCUGCAAGAGUCUGUCCAGGUCUUUGAUGAGACGCCCAGUAAAAACUCGAUCUCAUGGAACUCCAUCAUCGCAGCCUUCGCGCGACAUGGUCAAGGUUCUGAAGUCUUUCAACUGUUUGAAUCCAUGAAAGCCAGCGGUGCCAAUCCCACAGAUGUCACCUUCUUAUCACUACUACAUGGCUGUAGCCAUGUUGGAUCAGCAAAGAAGGGGCUGGAGAUCUUGAAUUCCAUGUCAUCGCAGUACGGAGUGCUCCCAAGGGUAGAACAUUAUGCAUGUGUGGUCGACAUGCUUGGCCGAGCUGGUCAGUUAGACGAUGCAAAGUCAUUCAUCGAGGACGGACCUUUCAAGGACAGUGCUAUCCUUUGGCAGGCCUUAAUGGGAGCUUGUAGCUUCCAUCGGAACUUGGAGAUCGGGAAAUACGCGGCUGAGAAGUUGCUCCUUGUGGACCCCGAGUCCCCUGCUUCUUACGUCUUGCUAUCAAACAUCUACUCAGCGGAAGGCCGAUGGGAUGAUCGAGCCAAGGUUAUGAAGAAGAUGAGGGAGAUGGGUCUGAGGAAGGAUACCGGCAAGAGCUGGAUCGAGCUCGAGAAGGAGGUCCAUUCUUUCGUCGUCGGGUCACUCACGUCUCGUCCUGACCCUGCUCCUGUUGAUGAUGUGGUGCUGCAGCUGUCUGCAGUUGCUGGUGAUCAUCAGGAUGAUGUGAUGGAAGACAAUGCUCUGUGA
rnacentral:rRNA from 1 species